rnacentral:rRNA from 1 species
CUGCUGCCUUCCGUAGGAGUCUGGGCCGUGUCUCAGUCCCAAUGUGGCCGAUCAACCUCUCAGUCCGGCUACUGAUCGCCGACUUGGUGGGCCGUUACCUCACCAACUAUCUAAUCAGACGCGAGCCCAUCUUUCAGCGAUAAAUCUUUGGUACCAAAAGGAUGCCCUUCCGGCACGUUAUGCGGUAUUAGCAGUCGUUUCCAACUGUUGUCCCCCACUGAAAGGCAGGUUGCUCACGUGUUACUCACCCGUCCG